rnacentral:lncRNA from 1 species
AGCUCAAGACGGCGUGUUGCAUCACAAUACAUGGCGCUCGGGGACUAGCUGUGGGGGUAUAAACCCCUAUACCCUUACGGCUAGACUUCAGCCAGGAAGCUUGGCCCACUACGAGACGAGUUCAAGGCUUGAUCCGACAGCCCGGGUUUCGCGCAAGGAAACAAGACGUAGAGAUCAAGCAGGAUUCUAGUCGGUUAGAAUAGGAAUUGAUAUCGAAUUAUCUAUGGCAAUUGUAACCGACUAGGAUUAGUUUCUAGAUCUGUAACUCUGCCCUCCAGACUAUAUAAGGAGGGGCAAGGGACCCCCCUAGGACGGGUCACAGAUCAUAUUCUCUCAACACAAUCCAAUACAACCAGACGCAGGACGUAGGUAUUACGCCAACUCGGCGGCCGAACCUGGAUAAAAAGCUUGUCCGUGUCUCGCGUCACCAUCGAGUUCGUAGUUUGCGCACCGUCUACCGAUAAACUACUACCGUGGGUAUACCCCAAGGUAGACUGCCGACUAGCUUUCGUCGACAUGUAUCUGUCUAUUGUCUG